rnacentral:ncRNA from 1 species
GUAGCAGAUGUGCGACGGAGUCCGCCGCGGCGACAGUCUUCGUGAAGACGUCCAUCGCACCGCAUUCGCUUGGGAUGCGGCCCGAGAACGGGAGAGAACGCUGAGCGUUACAAC